rnacentral:tRNA from 1 species
GCCGCUUUAGCUCAGUUGGUAGAGCACAUCAUUCGUAAUGAUGGGGUCGCGUGUUCGAGUCACGCAAGNUCGGCACCA